rnacentral:rRNA from 2 species
CCUACGGGAGGCAGCAGUGAGGAAUUUUGCGCAAUGGGGGAAACCCCGACGCAGCGACGCCGCGUGGAGGAUGAAGGCCUUCGGGUCGUAAACUCCUGUCAGAGGUGAAGAAACCCCGUGCAAGCGGAGUUGACGGUACCCUCAGAGGAAGCCCCGGCCAACUACGUGCCAGCAGCCGCGGUAAUACGUAGGGGGCAAGCGUUGCUCGGAAUUACUGGGCGUAAAGGGUGUGUAGGUGGCUGAGUAAGUCAAAGAUGAAAUCCCGAGGCUUAACUUCGGAAUCGUUUUUGAAACUGCUUAGCUUGAGGAUAGUUGAAGAGAAUGGAAUUCCCGGUGGAGCGGUGAAAUG